UACGAAGGGUGCAAGCGUUAAUCGGAAUUACUGGGCGUAAAGCGUGCGUAGGUGGUCUUUUAAGUCCGGUGUGAAAGCCCUGGGCUCAACCUGGGAAUGGCAGUGGAUACUGGAAGGCUGGAGUACGGUAGAGGAGGGUGGAAUUCCCGGUGUAGCGGUGAAAUGCGUAGAGAUCGGGAGGAACAUCAGUGGCGAAGGCGGCCCUCUGGACCAGUACUGACGCUGAGGCACGAAAGCGUGGGGAGCAAACAGG
rnacentral:rRNA from 1 species